rnacentral:lncRNA from 1 species
UAAAACAUUGUUUAGGAAGUGUUGUCGCAGUUGGAUAGACAAAAAACACGACUUAAACUCAGAAGAUUGUCCUUCAUCUUCACCGACUUUCUCCUCAACCAGAUGCUUCUCAAUCCAGAACCAUGAUCAGUCCCAUCCGAAAUCUUGCUCAACCACCUUGAAACCCAGAAACCGACCUAGAAAAUCUUAAAUAUUAGCAGCCGACCUUGCCAAGCAGGAGGUGUCCAAUUCUCAGAGCUCGAUCGAUGACUCCUUCAAGCUAUUUUGCAGGAGCUAGAACCCUAGGAGCCUAGAGGUGGCGGGUCUAGGAGCUAAACGGGUAAGUACUCAGUUGAACAAAUUGAUUUUUGCUUCCUGUGUUCAUAUCUUAGGGAUUAAGUUUCUGGGCUCUAUAAAUAGUUGUUUUCAGUAUUUUGGAAAUAGGUCCUCUAGCAGUCCCCAUACUUAGAGAGAGGGAGAGAUAACUCAGGUGUGAUUCUAUUUUGGCUUUGUUGUUAGUUUGUGAAAUUAGAUUGAGUUUACUUUGAGACUUGUGUAUGAUUGUUUCUUUGAUUAGAAAAGUUGUAAUUGAGCAUUGGUUCCGAUUUUGUUGUUGUGAAAAGCUGCGUGUUGUUGUUCUGAUUUUGUUGUUGUGAUCAUUGAAUUCCUUGGUUAGACAAAUCAGCCUUUUUACUUUAUUAGUGCAAAGACUAUGUUUAUGUUCUGCUGCUGUUCUUAUGAGUUCUGAGUUUGAAAACGAUUAUUUGGAAACUGAAGAUAAAGGCACAAAUCAGCAAUUGUUUUAGAGAAAAACUGGAGCUGUAUCUGAAAUUCGAAAUUCCAUAAGUAAUUGUAGAUUUGUCCGAUUUGUGUGAUUCCAGUUCCAGAUUGUUGAUUUUUAUGUCUAUUUCAAAUGUUGUGAAGACAUCAUCUUUAAAUUCCCAGCCAAACUAUGUCGUUUUCAGCUUGAAAGUCUACUGGACAGAUUGUCAGGGAGUAGUUUUGUGAUUUCAGAAUUUUGUUGUUUUCAGUUGCACCCUUUGUUUCUUUGUCAUCUUUGUUGUUAUGAAAUCAUAGAUGUAUUGAAUCUAGAAUAUCAUGUUUGUGUUUUGUUUAUGAAAUCGAAGGUAGAAACUAAAGGUUGAGGAUGCUUAAAACUAGCUAUAAGAUUUAGAACUACUUUUAUUGCUUUUCUGAAUAAUAGUUGUGUGAUGCCUGAGUAGGUUCCUUUACACUAAAUGUCUGUCAUUUCUGGUUGUUGAACAUCAAAAUGUCUAUAAUAUGUACCUAAAAGUUUAGUUCUGCAUAUAGUCCAUGAUUUUACUUCCAGAUACUUUAAAUAGGCUUCUAGCAGAAAUUUUCCAGAAAAACUCAAAAACUGAAGCUGAACUUUGGAAAUUCAUAACUAACUCUAGAAAAAUCGUUUUGGGGAGAUUCCAACUCUCAUAGUUUCUUCGGUUUGCCUGCUAUAAGUCAUUAGAAGACCUCGAAGUCAAAUUAUGAACAGUUUUGUACAGUUUUCAGUCUGUUUGUAACUGGUACAGAAAAUCAUGUUUAAGUACAGAAAAGCAUGUUUUUUGUAAAAUACUGUUUUGGUACUUUAUUUCUUGUUUCAGCAGUUUUAGUUUAGACUUUUUAACUAAUGAUUCAUCUUGUAUUAGGAGCUUGAAACUUGAAGUAAGAUCCGGCAAAGGUAGGAGGAAAUUUGGGGAACCUCAAUACUUGCUUUAUAUUUUGUUAUGUGAAUUACUUCUUUUUGGUGAAAUCAUUGUUUUCUUGCUGCAUUUUGUUCAUAAUGUGGAGUGGUUUUUCAUUUGUGGCAUGAGGAAGUAUUACUGCUACAUUUUGGGUAAAGAAGGUAGAAAUUUUACUUUUGUGUAGUUGAGUUCAUAUCCUCAGCAGGAACCAUAUCCCAGGUAUACCCAUGUUGAUGCGCAAGUAGUAUAGGUUAUGAAAAAAGGGUAAUUCGGGAUUGGCGAAAGGGGAAUGGGCAAGAGGACUAGCAAAAAGGGUUAUGUGAGUGAAUAGGAGAUAGUUCAUGUAAUUAAAUACUCCAAGCCACCCUUGUGGUAAAAAUACAUGGUAUAGGACAUGUAGGCUUGAAGUAUUUUGUUAUAUGAACUAUAUGGGGCAGAUUAUACAUAUACAUACAUGUUGUCUAUUUUGACUGGUAUUGUAUUGUUUGAAAAGGUUUUGCCUCCUAUUGGGCUAUUUAUGCUCACCCCUUUUAAAUAUUUUGCAGGUAAUAAACAAGUUGUUUGAAGUUGGUUUCUUGCAAGGAUGUUUCUUUUUAAUUUCCUAUAAAAUAUGUGUGUUGUUGGUUUUCCCUUAGAAUAAGAUGUAGACUUUCUUAAGUCUAUCUCUGUAAGUUACUUUUUAUAAUAAAGAAUAAAAUUUUAGUUAGUUGGUGUUGAGUUGUUCUUUUCCAAUUUUUUUUAUAUUUUGAUUAUGGAAAUUCUAUUCUAUAAUUGAAAUAUGAGUUACACCUUAAAAANNNN